rnacentral:rRNA from 1 species
ACGGGUGAGUAAUAUAUCGGAACGUGCCCAAUCGUGGGGGAUAACGUAGAGAAAUUUACGCUAAUACCGCAUACGAUCUAAGGAUGAAAGCGGGGGAUCGCAAGACCUCGCGCGAUUGGAGCGGCUGAUAUCAGAUUAGGUUGUUGGUGAGGUAAAAGCUCACCAAGCCGACGAUCUGUAGCUGGUUUGAGAGAACGACCAGCCACACUGGGACUGAGACACGGCCCAGACUCCUACGGGAGGCAGCAGCGGGGAAUUUUGGACAAUGGGCGAAAGCCUGAUCCAGCAAUGCCGCGUGCAGGAAGAAGGCCUUCGGGUUGUAAACUGCUUUUGUACGGAACGAAACGGCUCUUUCUAAUAAAGAGGGCUAAUGACGGUACCGUAAGAAUAAGCACCGGCUAACUACGUGCCAGCAGCCGCGGUAAUACGUAGGGUGCGAGCGUUAAUCGGAAUUACUGGGCGUAAAGCGUGCGCAGGCGGUUAUAUAAGACAGUUGUGAAAUCCCCGGGCUCAACCUGGGAAUUGCAUCUGUGACUGUAUAGCUAGAGUACGGUAGAGGGGGAUGGAAUUCCGCGUGUAGCAGUGAAAUGCGU